ensembl:lncRNA LINC01801 long intergenic non-protein coding RNA 1801
UGAGACAGCAAGACCAACCCCUCCUUUUCAUCCUCCUCCUCCUCCUCAGCCUACUCAACAUGAAAAUGACAAGGAUGAAACCUUUAUGAUGAUCCACUCAUCCAUUUUCUUUUCUCUAGCUUAUUGUGAACAUCUUAGGCUAGUGUGUCGACUUCUGACUUGGCUCAUCUGAACCCAAGUCCUUGGACACAUUCACAAACACCCCAGGGUCUUGGGCUUCCAGUUUGUGCUAGAAGGACAAAGGGCAGGUGAAGCUUGUUUGCCGUAACUAGAAGGAGCAGAAACUGCUCCCAGCAGAACAAGAUCAAAUCAUGGGGAACAGUGGUCACCUGCCAUUUCUAGAGGAAGCUUUUGCUUUUGGUCACUGAGGACCCUAAGUCUUACAUGAGAAGAAAACAAAUAGGGUGAUGCUGCAUGCUUCUGUCCCCAAAGAAUCCCUGUGCAGGUGCCGAGGGUGCCCCAAAGACGAGGCUGUGCUUGCCGUGCCCACCACAGAAGCACAUUUGACCUGAUCAAAAGCAGGUGGAAAAGGUCCUGAAGCACAGAUAUUUUCUCAGUGAUGUUGUUUUCUCCAAAAUGAAAGAGGGAAGGUACCCUGGCUUAGGCCCCUGGUGUUCUGAUUGAAGGUGAGAAUGGAAGUAUCUUCUUCAACAUGUUCUCCCAUCUGACUGCAACAAGUGUGCUCCAGCCACCAGUGUCCCAGUUGCUCUGAAUGAUGGUGAGAAGGGUACCCAAACACUUGAAUGGUACUGUACCCUCUACUUGCCAUCUGAAUCCUCACUUGUGGAACCCAGGCACUCUGGCUGUAUUCGCGAGUAAGCAUAGGUGUGGGACUGUGUCCUGCCAUUGCACCAUCUUUAAUCUGGACUUGUGGACCUCAGGCUCUCUGACUAUUCAUGGACAGAAGUUUCUGCAGGCACAGGUGGGGUGCUGUUUCCUCCCAUUGUACACCUGAAUUCAGGACUUGUGGACCCCAGGUGUUCUGGCUGUGUUCAUGAACAGAAGUGUCCCCCCCAAACAAACCCAUAUAUGGUGCCAUCUCCUCCCAUUACAGUCACAGAUAUGGCACCAGCCCCUCCAACAGAAACAGAUGUGCUCAAGCUGAGUGGUCCAAAGGCGUUUGACAGAAGUCAUGAACAGAAGUAUCUUGGGGCACAUGUUUCUUCUCUGUUGUGCAGGCUUCUCCAGCAGUAACAGGUUUGCCCAGGCCAUAUGGGCCCCAAGCGCUCUGACCAGACACAAGAAGAGAAGACUUGCAGUCACAGGGUAUCUUCUUCCAAAAUUGGAACUGAGCUACCUGAUGGAAAAUGAGCAAGAUUAUUGUGUGGUGAAGAGAGGCCUCUCAUAAAGUUCCUGUCCAGAUGUGCCUUCUCUCUGGAUCCACAUUUCUUCUCUCAUCACAGAUCUUUCACCUGGUAUCACUUUUUGUCAUCCUUAAAUAGAAUUUUCUUUAAGAAUUUCAUUUUAUGCAGGUUAAUUUUCCAUUAAAUUUCUUAUUUUUGCUCUGAA